UAAAAAAAUAAGAUGGAUAAUAAUUAACAUUAUAAAGUAUGUAGGUAUAUGUACUUUAUAAAGUGUUUUAUAAACUUGAGUAUGUAUUUAAUUAAAAUUAUAGAGCAACAUUAAGAUCAUCAGUUCUCACCUGACAAGAAGCAGAAGAAGAGAAAAUGGAGGAUUUUCAUUCUGAUGCAGAAAAGUUGUUAAACUUCAGAAGAACAGCGUCUGACACUUCAGUCUGUCUGCAUCUGUCAGAUCAUCAGAAAACUGACGUAACUCAGAGAAGAUGAUCUGCAGGAUCCUGCUGCUCAUCAUCCUCACCUCAUGUGUCUCUGGAUCAUUUGUAGUCAAUGUGACACAGACCUCCUAUCAGGCAGAGGAGAACCACAACAUCACACUGGAGUGGACGUUCACCACCAAACCUGACAGAUCCACCAAAACCCUUUUUAUCUACUGUGAAAUGAAAACUGAGCUUAAAUCCUCAGUCCUGUAUCAUGUUCAUGAAGGUGUUGAGGUGUCAGGGUCUCAGGAUGAAAAGUUUUCAGGACGAGUCCAGAGUGACAAAGACGCCCUCAGAGAAGGACGAAUCAGACUU
ensembl:lncRNA